rnacentral:misc_RNA from 1 species
AAAAAGGAUAAAGGAGAAAAUGGGAAUAAUUCAUCUUCUACACCUAUACAAAUUCUCCUCACACCUUCAAUAGCCUGGUGAAUUCUCAACUUGCUCAGAAAAUUCCCCAAAAAAGGAAAUUCUUAACUCAUCACCCACAGUUUAUACUAAUAUUGUAGCUAUAUUUUUUAAGAUGAAACAUAUACAUUAACAGAAUUUUAAAUUUGUUGCCACAGAAGCCUGAUUCCCAUCUUACCUCAAUUCUUCUAAGCGCUAUUCACAGUGAGAGGGGAAACCAAAAUAGACUCCAAAUAAAUAAUUAAACAAUUCUAAGAGCCACUUGGCUCUCUUCACAUCAACAGCUCCGACACCCAUCCAACAUCCGGACCAUUUGAAGACUGCCCCGGAUCUUGGUCGACCUGGCCUAGAGAGUAAUCCUUGCUCAAUUUCUCAAACAUCUUUGCACGCAGGCCCCUUCCUGAUUCCACUCUCUCCAUCGCAGGCUC